rnacentral:misc_RNA from 1 species
GAACGCACCUUGCGCCCUUUGGCUAUUCCGAAGGGCAUGCCUGUUUGAGUAUCAUGAACACCUCAACUCUCAUGGUUUGCCAUGAUGAGCUUGGACUUUGGGGGGUCUUGCUGGCCUGUGGUCGGCUCCUCUCAAAUGAAUCAGCUUGCCAGUGUUUGGUGGCAUCACAGGUGUGAUAACUAUCUACGCUUGUGGUUGUCCACCAGGUAACCUUCAGCGAUGAAGGUUCACUGGGGCUCAUAAACGGCAUGUCUCUCCUCACCGAGGACAGCUCUUUGAACGUUUGAUCUCAAAUCAGGUAGGACUACCCGCUGAACUUA